rnacentral:misc_RNA from 1 species
AGCUUGUAGAACCAAGAAUCCCCAACGGCUCGUUACCAUGUCAUUUGUGUGGUUCUCUGUAGAGGGGCACAGGCGGACGUUCUACCACUAGGCCACGGAGGGGGUCUGUGGGUAUACAUGUAGUUCCUACCACAACAUUACCACGAACCAAGAAUCCUCAACGGCUCGUUACCAUGUCAUUUGUGUGGUUCUCUGUAGAGGGGCACAGGCGGACGUUCUACCACUAGGCCACGGAGGUGGUCUGUGGGUAUACAUGUAGUUCCUACCACAACAUUACCACGAACCAAGAAUGCUCAACGGCUCGUUACCAUGUCAUUUGUGUGGUUCUCUGUAGAGGGGCACAGACGGACGUUCUACCACUAGACCACGGAGGCGGUCUGUCUGUAUACAUGUAGUUCCUACCACAACAUUGCCACGAACCAAGAAUCCUCAACGGCUCGUUACCAUGUCAUUUGUGUGGUUCUCUGUAGAGUGGCACAGGCGGACGUUCUACCACUAGGCCACGGAGGCGGUCUGUCUGUAUACAUGUAGUUCCUACCACAACAUUACCACGAACCAAGAAUCCUCAACGACUCGUUACCAUGUCAUUUGUGUGGUUCUCUGUAGAGGGGCACAGGCGGACGUUCUACCACUAGGCCACGGAGGUGGUCUGUCUGUAUACAUGUAGUUCCUACCACAACAUUACCACGAACCAAGAAUCCUCAACGGCUCGUUACCAUGUCAUUUGUGUGGUUCUCUGUAGAGGGGCACAGACGGACGUUCUACCACUAGGCCACGGAGGCGGUCUGUCUGUAUACAUGUAGUUCCUACCACAACAUUACCACGAACCAAGAAUCCUCAACGGCUCGUUACCAUGUCAUUUGUGUGGUUCUCUGUAGAGGGGCACAGGCGGACGUUCUACCACUAGGCCACGGAGGCGGUCUGUGUGUAUACAUGUAGUUCCUACCACAACAUUACCACGAACCAAGAAUCCUCAACGGCUCGUUACCAUGUCAUUUGUGUGGUUCUCUGUAGAGGGGCACAGGCGGACGUUCUACCACUAGGCCACGGAGGUGGUCUGUGGGUAUACAUGUAGUUCCUACCACAACAUUACCACGAACCAAGAAUCCUCAACGGCUCGUUACCAUGUCAUUUGUGCGGUUCUGUGUAGAGGGGCACAGGCGGACGUUCUACCACUAGACCACGGAGGCGGUCUGUCUGUAUACAUGUAGUUCCUACCACAACAUUACCACGAACCAAGAAUCCUCAACGGCUCGUUACCAUGUCAUAUGUGUGGUUCUCUGUAGAGGGGCACAGGCGGACGUUCUACCACUAGGCCACGGAGGCGGUCUGUCUGUAUACAUGUAGUUCCUACCACAACAUUACCACGAACCAAGAAUGCUCAACGGCUCGUUACCAUGUCAUUUGUGUGGUUCUCUGUAGAGGGGCACAGGCGGACGUUCUACCACUAGGCCACGGAGGCGGUCUGUCUCUAUACAUGUAGUUUCUACCACAACAUUACCACGAACCAAGAAUGCUCAACGGCUCGUUACCAUGUCAUUUGUGUGGUUCUCUGUAAAGGGGCACAGGCGGACGUUCUACCACUAGGCCACGGAGGUGGUCUGUGGGUAUACAUGUAGUUCCUACCACAACAUUACCACGAACCAAGAAUGCUCAACGGCUCGUUACCAUGUCAUUUGUGUGGUUCUCUGUAGAGGGGCACAGGCGGACGUUCUACCACUAGGCCACGGAGGUGGUCUGUGGGUAUACAUGUAGUUCCUACCACAACAUUACCACGAACCAAGAAUCCUCAACGGCUCGUUACCAUGUCAUUUGUGUGGUUCCCUGUAGAGGGGCACAGGCGGACGUUCUACCACAAGACCACGGGGGUGGUCCCCCUGCCACACAGGACGCACCUGCCACUCACACACAAAAUAAUCAGUCGGCGUUAUCGGCGGUUUACGACACUGUCAUGUCGACGAAGGCGCUGGGGAACUUUGUACAGUGUCCUGUCUGUAGGACCAGUCACAUCCCCACGAAAGGGAUACUUCAAAAUGGCGUCUAUGCUUCUACCUGUGAAAACUGUGGCCACUUCUUCAAGUUCAAGGCCACAGGUCCUCUCAAGUCCUCGGUUACAUUCACCAUCAAUGCAACUUCGUACACAGUUGGCAACCAGUAUGCUGCAGCUCUGUCCCUGAAUGAGUUCAUGAGGUCCCAGGGCGUGUCCUAUGGCACCAAGGUGAUGUGUAUGGAGGGAGGGUGUGGCGUGUGCCUCGUCACUACCACACUGUAUGAUCCCAUCACAAAGUCCGUGCAGACCUACACAGUCAACUCGUGCCUCGUUCCUCUCUACACGUGUGACGGCAUGCAAGUGACAACCGUCGAGGGUCUGGGCAACCCCAGGGACGGCCUACACCCGAUACAAGACCGUCUGGCACAGUACAAUGGCUCUCAGUGUGGCUUCUGUAGCCCCGCCCAGGUUAUGAACAUGUAUGGGCUGCUCAAGAAAACACCGAACCCGACCAUGCAACAAGUGGAAAAUGCCUUUGAUGUCUCCAUCUGCAGAUGUACAGGCUAUAGACCAAUACUGGACGCCAUGAAGUCAUUCGCCUCUGAUGCCGCACCUAACCUUAUCGGCGGGACCAUUGAUAUUGAAGAACUGGACAAGAAGAUAUGCAGCAAAUCCGGGAAGACCUGCACAGGACGCUGUUCAUCUGAUAGACAGACUGACACGGAGCACGUCCCCCUCCACAUUGUGCUGCAGGGGUCACAGUGGUACAAACCGACCAACAGACAGCAGCUGUACGCCCUCCUCGGCCAACACAAGGGAGACAACUACAGACUCGUGUUUGGAAAUUCAGGAUAUGGUGUGUAUAAAGAGAUCGGCCCAUGGAUGUUUGAUGUCCUCAUUGACCUGCGUGGCAUCCAAGAGUUCUAUGACAUAUCAAUUGACUCCUCCAAAGUGAUGUUUGGUCCUAGCAUCACCCUGACCAACAUGAUGGAGGUAUUUCUGAAAAACAGCACCAACCCUGAUCUGUCCUACUUCCGGGAUUUCGCCAACCACGUGGCCGUCAUUGCUAACACCGGAGUCAGGAAUUUGGGCAGCUGGGCAGGUAACCUGAUGCUGAAGAACCUGCACACAGAGUUCCCGUCUGAUGUCUUCGCCAUGUUCGAGACGGUCGGGGCAACCCUGACUAUUGGAUCGAGUGAUGGUUCGGAGAAAUCAGUCAGCCUCAUGGAGUUCCUGAACCUAGACAUGAAGGGGAAGGUCAUCCUGUCCGUCAUGCUUCCGACGUUCCCAUCCGGAGACGUGCAUGUUAAGACCUUCAAGGUUGCCCCCAGACAUCAGAAUGCCCACGCCUAUGUGACAGCAGGCUUCAGGAUGCAGCUGGACAAGAACGUCAACUUCAGAGUCAAGACAAAACCAUCCCUGGUGUACGGCGGCAUCAACAAGACACUGGUUCACGCCAGCAACACAGAGACGUUCCUACAGGGCAAGGAGUUGGGGGAUUCUACAGUACUCAAAGAUGCUAUAGCCACUCUUACGGCCGAACUGGUUCCCGACACCACCCCUGGCCUGUCCAGUACAACCUACAGGAAGACACUGGCCGUCUCCCUCUUCUACAAGUAUGUGCUCGGCGUGUGUGGUGAGAAAGCAGCGAAAAGAUUCCAGAGUGGUGGCACCAACUUGAUACGGCCAGUUUCAUCCGGCACUCAGACAUAUGACAGUCGUAAAGAUGAAUACCCUUUGACUAAACCUAUGACCAAGGUGGACGCGACCCUACAGACAUCAGGUAGGGUCAAGUACGUCAACGACAUACCACCGGUUCAAGAAGAAGUCUUCGCCGCUUUCGUCAUCAGCAGCGUCGGAAACGCCGACAUCGAUACCGUGGACACGGCCUUAGCUCUGGCGUAUCCUGGAGCCUUGAAGUACAUAUCUGCAGCUGAUAUACCCAAAGGAGGCAGAAACAGCUUCAGGGAACCUACAGUCGAAGUUGAGGAGUUGUUUUGCAGUGGGAAGGUCCUAUACAGUGGACAGCCAAUUGGCAUCAUCGUCGCAGUGGACAAACUAUCAGCGGACACAGCAGCCAGCAUGGUGAAGGUUACCUACAAGAACGUCCAGCCUCCCAUCAUUACAAUGGAAGAUGCCAUUCAGAAGAAAUCCAUAUUUCCAAAUGCUGCCCAAGAGUUUAAAAAGGGCGAUGCUGCAGCUGCAAUAGCUGGCUCAGACAAGCAGAUCUCAGGUCGAAUCAAAGUAGGGCAUCAGUACCAUUUCCAGAUGGAAACUCAGGUGAGCAUCUGCUACCCCGCAGAGGAUGGGGUGGGCGUGAGUCUUCUCUCGUCAACACAGUGGUCGGAUAUGGAACAGUUGAUCGUUGCCAAACUCCUUAACAUCCCUGAAAGCAGUGUUAACGUUACGGUCACCCGUCUGGGGGGAUCAUACGGAUCCAAGAUUACACGUGCCCACCAAACAGCAUCAGCAGCUGCACUGGCCACACAUAUCAUGAGGAGGCCAGUUCGACUCAGUAUGAACUUCCACACCAACAUGAAGACAGUCGGGAAACGUUUCCCUUAUCUUGCAGAUUACAAAAUCGGCGUCAACAAUGACGGCAAGCUGAAUGGAAUCCAGAUGACUGUUAACACUGACUGCGGUGCGUCCCCCAAUGACAACAUCUUAGCGGCAAUUCCAGAAUGGUUGGACAAUGCCUACUUCUGUCCUGCGUGGGACUUUAAACCUAUAGCCCUGAAGACGAACCUUCCCGCCAACACCUAUUGCCGGGCCCCAGGAUCCUGCCCCGCCAUCUUCAUCAUGGAAGCCAUGAUGGAACAUGUGGCCAAGGUUUUCCACAAAGACCCGCUGGAAUUCAGGAAGUUAAAUUUGUUCGACAAAGGUCAGGCGUCUGUCACUGGAAUGGUUCUGAAGUACUGCAACAUCAAGGACAUGGUGGCUCAACUGGAGAAGUCAGCCGAUGUCCAGACAAGGAAACAACAAGUUGCAGCUUUCAACCAGGCCAACAGAUGGAAGAAGAAGGGUAUCUCUGUGAUGCCUCUCCGAUGGGACCAGGACUACGCAGGCAACAAUCCCAACUACAACGUCUACAUGACUGUCUACCACGGGGAUGGUUCCGUCGCUAUUUCGAUCGGCGGUGUGGAGGUGGGCCAGGGAAUCAACACCAAGAUGAUGCAAGUCUGUGCCUUUGAGCUGGGUAUUCCUAUGGACACGAUCAAGGUAAAGCCAACGACAACCAUGGCUGACUCCAACUCCUACAUGACCGGAGGCAGCAUCACCAGCGAAGUCAACGCACUGUACCAAUCCAACAGGAGAGUCCAGUAACUACAACAUCUACGGCGCAACGUGCACAGAGGUCGAGGUGGACGUUCUGACAGGGGAGAACCAGAUCAACCGAGUGGACAUCCUGUAUGACUGUGGAGAAAGCAUGAACCCCGAGAUUGAUGUAGGACAAGCAGAGGGUGCGUUUGUGAUGGGCUUGGGCUACUGGAUGACCGAACAGAUGAUCUUUGACCCCACGACUGGCACCGCCCUGACGGCCGGA